GUGGGGAAUAUUGGGCAAUGGGCGCAAGCCUGACCCAGCAACGCCGCGUGAAGGAAGAAGGCUUUCGGGUUGUAAACUUCUUUUACCAGGGACGAAACAAAUGACGGUACCUGGUGAAUAAGCCACGGCUAACUACGUGCCAGCAGCCGCGGUAAUACGUAGGUGGCGAGCGUUAUCCGGAUUUAUUGGGUGUAAAGGGCGUGUAGGCGGGACAGCAAGUCAGAUGUGAAAACCAGAGGCUCAACCUCUGGCCUGCAUUUGGAACUGUUGUUCUUGAGUGUCGGAGAGGUAAUCGGAAUUCCGUGUGUAGCGGUGAAAUGCGUAGAUAUACGGAGGAACACCAGUGGCGAAGGCGGAUUACUGGACGAUAACUGACGCUGAGGCGCGAAAGCGUGGGGAGCAAACAGGAUUAGAAACCCUUGUAGUCC
rnacentral:rRNA from 1 species